GAACGCUGGCGGCGUGCCUAACACAUGCAAGUCGAGCGAUCUUCUUCGGAAGAGAGCGGCGGACGGGUGAGUAACGCGUGGGUAACCUGCCCUGUACACACGGAUAACAUACCGAAAGGUAUGCUAAUACGGGAUAACAUAAGAAAGUCGCAUGGCUUUCUCAUCAAAGCUUUUGCGGUACAGGAUGGACCCGCGUCUGAUUAGCUAGUUGGUAAGGUAACGGCUUACCAAGGCGACGAUCAGUAGCCGACCUGAGAGGGUGAUCGGCCACAUUGGAACUGAGACACGGUCCAAACUCCUACGGGAGGCAGCAGUGGGGAAUAUUGCACAAUGGGCGAAAGCCUGAUGCAGCAACGCCGCGUGAGCGAUGAAGGCCUUCGGGUCGUAAAGCUCUGUCCUCAAGGAAGAUAAUGACGGUACUUGAGGAGGAAGCCCCGGCUAACUACGUGCCAGCAGCCGCGGUAAUACGUAGGGGGCUAGCGUUAUCCGGAAUUACUGGGCGUAAAGGGUGCGUAGGCGGUCUUUCAAGUCAGAAGUGAAAGGCUACGGCUCAACCGUAGUAAGCUUUUGAAACUGUAAGACUUGAGUGCAGGAGAGGAGAGUGGAAUUCCUAGUGUAGCGGUGAAAUGCGUAGAUAUUAGGAGGAACACCAGUUGCGAAGGCGGCU
rnacentral:rRNA from 1 species